AUUUGGGGUCAGAUGCUGAGAUUUGGGGCCGAUUGGGCUGAAUUUGGGGUCGGGUGCUGAGGUUUGGGGUCAGUCUGUGAGAGUUUGGGGUCAGAUGCUGAGAUUUGGGGUCAGUUUGUGAGAGUUUGGGGUCAGAUGCUGAGAUUUGGGGUCAGAUGCUGAGAUUUGGGGUCCGUUUGUGAGAGUUUGGGGUCAGGGCUGGAGUUUUGGGGUCAUUUCAUGAGAGUUUGGGGUCAUUUCAUGAGAGUUUGGGGUCAGAUGCUAAGAUUUGGGGUCUGUUUGUGAGAGUUUGGGGUCAGUCUGUGAGAGUUUGGGGUCAGAUCCGGAGAUAUGGGGUCAGUUUGUGAGAGUUUGGGGUCAGAUGCUGAGAUUUGGGGCCAAUACAGCUGAAUUUGGGGUCAUUUCUUGAGAUUUUGGGGUCGUUUUGUGGGAGUUUGGGGUCAGGUGCUGAAAUUUGGGGUGGAUUCAGCUGAAUUUGGGGUCAGUUUGGGCGAUUUCGGGGC
rnacentral:lncRNA from 1 species